rnacentral:sRNA from 1 species
CAAAAAAGUACCGCAGCACCCCAAGCCCAACAAGGACAAAGUAACCAGUUAAUGCUUGACAAUGAUUUUGCUAAAUUCUUGUACAAGCAGUUUAACCUAAUC